UACAGAGGGUGCAAGCGUUGCUCGGAUUUACUGGGCGUAAAGCGUACGCAGACGGUUUGGUAGGUCGGAUGUGAAAGCCCCGGGCUCAACCCGGGAAUUGCAUCCGAAACCACCUCACUCGAGUGUGGGAGAGGGAAGCGGAAUUCCUGGUGUAGAGGUGAAAUUCGUAGAUAUCGGGAGGAACACCAGUGGCGAAGGCGGCGACCUGGGCCAAUACUGACGCUGAGGUGCGAAAGCGUGGGGAGCUAACAGG
rnacentral:rRNA from 1 species